rnacentral:rRNA from 1 species
GACGAACGCUGGCGGCGUGCUUAACACAUGCAAGUCGAACGGAAAGGCCCUGCUCUUGGGGGGUGCUCGAGUGGCGAAGGGGUGUGAAACACGUGUGUAAUCUGCCCGUCACUGGGGGAAAACUUGAGGAAACGGGGGCAUACACCGGAGAGGAGCCCCUGCUGCGGGGGGGGGGGGGGAAAGUUGCGGCGUUUGGGGCUGGACUCGGGGCUUAUCAGUUUGUGGGUGGGGUAGGGGUUUACAAAGGUUUUGAGGGGUAGCGGGCGGGAGAGGGUGACCGGCCAAUUUGGGCCUGGGUUAGGGCCCAGACUCCUCCGGGGGGCAGCAGUGGGGAAUAUUGCACAAUGGGCGGAGGCCUAAGGAAGCACCGCCGCGUGCGGAAUACCGGCCUUCGGUUGGUAAACCGCUUUCGCCUGGGCCGAAGCGUGUGUGACGGUAGUGGGUAAAGAAGCACCGGCUAACUACGUG